rnacentral:rRNA from 1 species
AACGAACGCUGGCGGCGUGGAUUAGGCAUGCAAGUCGAACGCGAAAGAGGGAGCAAUCCCUCAAGUAGAGUGGCGAACGGGUGAGUAACGCGUGAAGAACCUGCCUUCAACAGGGGGAUAACACUCCCAACGGGGUGCUAAUACCGCAUGAGACCACGGGUCCGCAUGGACCUGAGGUCAAAGGUGGCCUCUGCUUGCAAGCUACCGGUUGAAGAUGGCUUCGCGUCCCAUAGCUAGUUGGCGGUGUAAAAGACCACCAAGGCGACGAUGGUAGCUGGUCUGAGAGGAUGGUCAGCCACACUGGGACUGAGAUACGGCCCAGACUCCUACGGGAGGCAGCAGUAAGGAAUAUUGCGCAAUGGGCGAAAGCCUGACGCAGCGACGCCGCGUGGGGGAGUGAAGGUC